GUCCACGCCGUAAACGAUGGAUACUAGCUGUUGGGAGCAAUCUCAGUGGCUAAGCGAAAGUGAUAAGUAUCCCACCUGGGGAGUACGUUCGCAAGAAUGAAACUCAAAGGAAUUGACGGGGCCCGCACAAGCGGUGGAGCAUGUGGUUUAAUUCGAUGAUACGCGAGGAACCUUACCAAGGCUUAAAUGUAGAUUGACAGAUUUGGAAACAGAUUUUUCUUUCGGACAAUUUACAAGGUGCUGCAUGGUUGUCGU
rnacentral:rRNA from 1 species